CUUUUUCUUCUUCGAUAUCAUCUCCCACGAUUUACUUGCUUUCUUUCUCAGUCUGUUGAGCCCUUUUCUUUCUCGUGUUUUUCCUUUGCUUGACUAAAAUAUAGAAAAAAAAAAAAAACCGACUUCCUGGACUGUUGACGCCUUUCAAUUCUGCUCUACAGAUAUAUUACCUUCCCAUCCACAUUAUUUGAUUUCCCGAAACCCUAAACAUCCAAUGUGCACCCAUUUCCUCAGAGGCUGUAACCGAGCAGCCGACGCCUAGUCACUUUACCCAACAACCAACUCACUCGCCCGCCUCCGUGAGUCGAAAAUUUAUCUUCUAUUACAUUUUAAUUUGGAUAGGGCAGUUACUGAGCUCCAAAUUUUCUAUUUCUUUCUAUUUUUUAGUCAGACCGAAUUAAGCAAGCCAAAGUUUGUAAAGAGCUGCAGAUUAUUGGUUUGAGGAGGCGAAAGAGAGACAUACACCUCUGAAUGCAAUCAUUUAUGGAAAUAUUGUUUAUGCUCAUUGGAAAGUAGUAAAAGCUUGGCUUCUAUCAUACAAUAUUUUUAUUCUUCUGUAUUUUGUGUUUUUAUCUUUUUGCAAUUUUUGGGCCAUUUUCUUUUUGUGCGUAGGUCAAUGAAGAUAAAUUUGAGACUUAUAGUGGAUUCACAUAGUGUGUGUUUAUGUUAAUCCAUUUUCAGCUAUUUCUAUUUUUUUAUCAUGUUCUAAUUAGCGGGUUCUGCUAAAAUGUCCAAGUGAUCUCAUGUGGACUGAUGCAAUAUCUCAUAGAUAUUGUUGAUAUAAUGUAUAUUUGGAGAUUUAUGUGCCGAGGAGUUGUUCUAUUGCUGCAAUUCCAGAACUCAAUGUUAGUUAACCUUUAACAUUUUCAAAUUCUUUUCUAUUCAAACCACUUCUGUGAGUUAAGUCUUAGUGAAACAUGUUCAUUAUGCAAGGUGUUAGUUGUUUAUAGGCUGGAUAGGAACUAGUUGCCAAUGUGUAUAGACAGACAGAUGAAUUUAUGUUUAUAGGUGUUAGUUAUUCUAGGAUAAUCUUGUUAAUAGCUUUUUAAGUUAUGGAUUUAUGUGUAUAGAUGAUCCCUUUUUUUUCCAUGAAUUUAAUUCUUUCCCUUACUGAUCAUCUAACCCUGUAUAAUGUUUUUGCAGUCAACUACAUCAGAAAGUAGCCUUUUCGAUCAUUUGAUAAACAUUUGGGAAUUCAUUCCUGGACCAGUCCCAGGAACUUGCAGCCUUUACUUCCUUGUGGACUUUAAGUUCCAGUCACCACUCCAUUGGCAGGUAAUGUCCCGAUAGGCCAUAGGGCGUUUAUAGGUCAUUACCAAUACUUGAGUUUCCCUCUUGUGGUAUGCGCGUAACAAUCACUCUGCUGUUUGUAUUUUGACUUAUUAUUUCUUUUCUCCUUUGAUGAAAUGUUGCCAGCCUCUUGAGUAGUUGUGUUAGAUUCUUGUUAACCACCUGAACCUUCUUCCCUUUGGUUCUUUUUUAAUAUAACUGCAUCCAUAUUGUCAACUA